rnacentral:rRNA from 1 species
GGGCCCGCACAAGCGGUGGAGUAUGUGGUUUAAUUCGAUGCAACGCGAAGAACCUUACCAGGGUUUGACAUCCUGCGAAUCUCUUGGAAACAGGAGAGUGCCUUCGGGAACGCAGUGACAGGUGGUGCAUGGCUGUCGUCAGCUCGUGUCGUGAGAUGUUGGGUUAAGUCCCGCAACGAGCGCAACCCACGUCUUUAGUUGCCAGCAUUUAGUUGGGCACUCUAGAGAGACCGCCGGUGACAAACCGGAGGAAGGUGUGGAUGACGUCAAGUCAUCAUGCCCUUUACGUCCUGGGCUACACACGUACUACAAUGCUACGGACAAAGAGCAGCUAACUCGCGAGAGUGCGCAAAUCUCAUAAACCGUGGCUCAGUUCAGAUCGUAGGCUGCAACUCGCCUACGUGAAGGAGGAAUCGCUAGUAAUCGCAGGU